GCGGCUGUGGUGUAAUUGGUAGCCACGCCAGACUUAGGAUCUGGUGGAGCAAUCCGUGAAGGUUCGAGUCCUUUCAGCCGCA
rnacentral:tRNA from 1 species